UACAGAGGAUGCAAGUGUUAUCCAGAAUGAUUGGGCGUAAAGCGUCUAUAGGUGGCUUUUUAAGUCCGCCGUCAAAUCCCAGGGCUCAACCCUGGACAGGCGGUGGAAACUACCAAGCUGGAGUAUGGUAGGGGUAGAGGGAAUUUUCGGUGGAGCAGUGAAAUGCGUAGAGAUCGUAAAGAACACCAACGGCGAAAGCACUCUGCUGGGCCGACACUGACACUGAGAGACGAAAGCUAGUGGAGCGAAUGGG
rnacentral:rRNA from 1 species